GCUCACUGAAUAAUUAAAGAGCCGCGGUAUUUUGACCGUGCAAAGGUAGCAUAAUCAUUAGUGCAUUAAUUGUGUACUGGAAUGAAAGGUUUGACGAGAUAUACACUGUCUCUAUUUUAUUUUUAGAAUUUUACUUUCUAGUAAAAAGGCUGGGAUUGUUUUUUAGGACGAUAAGACCCUAUAGAGUUUGAUUUUAUAUAUUUUAUUAUUUUGGGUUAACUUAGAUUAUUUAAUUUUAUUGUAAAUUUUGUUGGGGUGAUGUGAAUAAUAAUUAAACUAUUCAUUUGUUUUUAUCAUUGAUUUAUGUUUUUUUUGAUCUUGUAUUAUUGAUAUUAAGAUAAAAUUACCUUAGGGAUAACAGCGCAAUUAUCUUUGAGAGUUCUUAUUGACAAGAUAGAUUGUGACCUCGAUGUUGGAUUAAGAUUACUUUUUGGGUGUAGGUGCUCAAAUUCAAUUGGUCUGUUCGACCAUU
rnacentral:rRNA from 2 species